UGGGGAAUUUUGGACAAUGGGGGAACCCUGAUCCAGCCAUCCCGCGUGUGCGAUGAAGGCCUUCGGGUUGUAAAGCACUUUUUGGCAGGAAAGAAACGUCGCGGGUUAAUACCCCGCGAAACUGACGGUACCUGCAGAAUAAGCACCGGCUAACUACGUGCCAGCAGCCGCGGUAAUACGUAGGGUGCAAGCGUUAAUCGGAAUUACUGGGCGUAAAGCGUGCGCAGGCGGUUCGGAAAGAAAGAUGUGAAUCCCAGAGCUUAACUUUGGAACUGCAUUUUUAACUACCGGGCUAGAGUGUGUCAGAGGGAGGUGGAAUUCCGCGUGUAGCAGUGAAAUGCGUAGAUAUGCGGAGGAACACCGAUGGCGAAGGCAGCCUCCUGGGAUAACACUGACGCUCAUGCACGAAAGCGUGGGGGAGCAAACAGGAUUAGAUACCCCUGGUAGUCCACGCCCUAAACGAUGUCAACUAGCUGUUUGGGGCCUUCGGGCCUUGGUAGCGCAGCUAACGCGUGAAGUUGACCGCCUGGGGGAGUACGGUCG
rnacentral:rRNA from 1 species